CCCUAGCCCCGAUUGAAACGGCAUCCUUUUCUGUUGCGGCCGGAGCGAAGCUGAGGCCGUAACAGAAAAGAUACAGUGGAAAGCGGGAAAUAGC
rnacentral:sRNA from 1 species